AGCGAACGCUGGCGGCAGGCUUAACACAUGCAAGUCGAGCGGGCAUCCUUGUGGUGUCAGCGGCAGACGGGUGAGUAACGCGUGGGAACGUGCCCUUCGGUUCGGAAUAACUCAGGGAAACUUGAGCUAAUACCGGAUACGUGCGAGAGCAGAAAGGUUUAUCUGCCGAAGGAUCGGCCCGCGUCUGAUUAGCUAGUUGGUGAGGUUAUGGCUCACCAAGGCGACGAUCAGUAGCUGGUCUGAGAGGAUGAUCAGCCACACUGGGACUGAGACACGGCCCAGACUCCUACGGGAGGCAGCAGUGGGGAAUAUUGGACAAUGGGGGCAACCCUGAUCCAGCCAUGCCGCGUGAGUGAUGACGGCCUUAGGGUUGUAAAGCUCUUUUCUUCGGGACGAUAAUGAUGGUACCGGAGGAAUAAGCCCCGGCUAACUUCGUG
rnacentral:rRNA from 1 species